UAAUUUGACAUUGUCAAAUAGCCGGAAUUGCCAGAUAAAACUUCAAAAAAUUCUAAAAAUGUUUCAUAGUUAUUUGACUGUUAUUAUGUGUUUGUGAAUACACAAUUUUAAAAUCAGUUUAUUAAGCAAAAAGUGUAUAAUAGUUAAAAUAGAUUUUAAGCCCAUAAUAAGAACUGUUUGAGAAUAAGGCUGUUACUGUAUAAACCGAUCCAUCGAUUUAAUUUUUGAGCUCAUAUUUAAAUAUACACAUUCGCAUGAAAUCAGAAAAAUAAGACAGCAACAUUCUCCGUUUUCAUGUCAGGUCAUGCACGUUAUUUCCAUUUUUUAAUGUCACCACAUUGCAAAGAAAAUUUAAUAAUUCUCCUCGAGUGGUCUCCUCCAAUUUAAAGGGUCCUGGGUGGGAAUACGAAACAAAACUGCCCAGCUGGGGACUACCAGAUUGGAAGGAGAAAAACUAAGAUAAAAUUAAACAGAUUUAGCUGUAUUUAUUCAAUGUUAAACAGCAAAUAUUAUGUCAAUUGAUGUAACUAUCAAUAGAAUAAACUUUGAAAACAAUUAUAGGAUUUGCAUA
rnacentral:sRNA from 1 species